rnacentral:rRNA from 1 species
CCUACGGGAGGCAGCAGUGGGGAAUAUUGGACAAUGGUCGCAAGCCUGACGCAGCAACGCCGCGUGAAGGAAGAAGGCCCUCGGGUUGUAAACUUCUUUCGUCAGGGACGAAACAAAUGACGGUACCUGACGAAUAAGCCGCGGCUAACUACGUGCCAGCAGCCGCGGUAAUACGUAGGUGGCAAGCGUUAUCCGGAUUUAGUGGGUGUAAAGGGCGUGAAGACGGGAGAGCAAGUCAGAUGUGAAAUUCCAGGGCUUAACCCUGGAACUGCAUUUGAAACUGUUUUGCUUGAGUGAUGGAGAGGCAGGCGGAAUUCCGUGUGUAGCGGUGAAAUGCGUAGAUAUAAGGAGGAACACCAGUGGCGAAGGCGGCCUGCUGGACAGUAACUGACGCUGAGGCGCGAAAGCGUGGGGAGCAAACAGGAUUAGAUACCCUAGUAGUC